rnacentral:rRNA from 2 species
UGGGGAAUAUUGCACAAUGGGGGAAACCCUGAUGCAGCGACGCAGCGUGCGGGAUGACGGCCUUCGGGUUGUAAACCGCUUUCAGCAGGGAAGAAGCGAAAGUGACGGUACCUGCAGAAGAAGUACCGGCUAACUACGUGCCAGCAGCCGCGGUAAUACGUAGGGUACGAGCGUUGUCCGGAAUUAUUGGGCGUAAAGAGCUCGUAGGUGGUUGGUCACGUCUGCUGUGGAAACGCAACGCUUAACGUUGCGCGUGCAGUGGGUACGGGCUGACUAGAGUGCAGUAGGGGAGUCUGGAAUUCCUGGUGUAGCGGUGAAAUGCGCAGAUAUCAGGAGGAACACCGGUGGCGAAGGCGGGACUCUGGGCCGCAACUGACGCUGAGGAGCGAAAGCAUGGGGAGCGAACAGG